GUGGGUAUAGCGCAGCUGGUUAGCGCGCCAGAUUGUGGCUCUGGAGGUCGUGGAUUCGAAUUCCACUAUCCACCCCA
rnacentral:tRNA from 2 species